AACUUUUAACAACGGAUCUCUUGGCUCUCGCAUCGAUGAAGAACGCAGCGAAAUGCGAUAAGUAAUGUGAAUUGCAGAAUUCAGUGAAUCAUCGAAUCUUUGAACGCACCUUGCGCCCUUUGGUAUUCCGAAGGGCAUGCCUGUUUGAGUGUCAUGAAUUCAUCGCGGCCCGAGGUUUUCGAACCUGCGGACCCGCGGAAGUGGGGGCCUGCCGCUGUGAAGCGGCUCCCCUCAAAUGCAUCGGUGGGGUCUCCGGACAUCCCGGGCGUUGUAUCUACCCUCGUCCUGACAGUGAUGCCGACCAAGCCCCCGCCUCGACCGUCCGCGCGAGCGGCGGUCAGACAUGCUUUGAAAUCUGACCUCAAAUCAGGUAGGACUACCCGCUGAACUUAAGCAUAUCAAUAAGCGGAGGAAAAGAAACUAACAAGGAUUCCCCUAGUAACUGCGAGUGAAGCGGGAAGAGCUCAAAUUUGAAAUCUGGCGGCUCCGCCGUCCGAGUUGUAAUCUGGAGAAGCGUUUUCCGUGCCGGACCGUGUACAAGUCCCUUGGAACAGGGCGUCAUAGAGGGUGAGAAUCCCGUCUUUGACACGGACUCCCGGUGCUCUGCGAUGCGCUCUCGAAGAGUCGAGUUGUUUGGGAAUGCAGCUCAAAAUGGGUGGUAAAUUCCAUCUAAAGCUAAAUAUUGGCGAGAGACCGAUAGCGAACAAGUACCGUGAGGGAAAGAUGAAAAGCACUUUGGAAAGAGAGUUAAACAGUACGUGAAAUUGUUGAAAGGGAAACGCUUGAAGUCAGUCGCGUCUUCUGGGACUCAGCCUUGCUCUGCUUGGUGCAUUUCCCAGUUUGACGGGUCAGCAUCGGCUCUGGGGGGCGGACAAAGGCGUGGGGAAGGUGGCAGCUCCGGCUGCGUUAUAGCCCCGCGUUACGCGUCCCCCGGGACCGAGGAAUCCGGCGCUCGCGCCUGGGAUGCUGGCGUAAUGGCUUUAAACGACCCGUCUUGAAACACGGACCAAGGAGUCUAACAUGCCUGCGAGUGUUUGGGUGGAAAACCCGAGCGCGUAAUGAAAGUGAAAGUCGAGACCCUUUGCGGGGGCACCGACGCCCGAGCCUGAUGUUUUCGGAAGGCCUUGCGGUAGAGCAUACCUGUUGGGACCCGAAAGAUGGUGAACUAUGCCUGAAUAGGGCGAAGCCAGAGGAAACUCUGGUGGAGGCUCGUAGCGGUUCUGACGUGCAAAUCGAUCGUCAAAUUUGGGUAUAGGGGCGAAAGACUAAUCGAACCAUCUAGUAGCUGGUUCCUGC
rnacentral:misc_RNA from 1 species